AAUAAUAACAAAAAAAAGAGGGAGAGAGUGGGUGAUUUCCGACCACCGUCCGGUCACCGAACCGCCGCCGGCCGCUGUCAGUGCCACCGUACAUGGCAGCUGGACCUCAAAAAAACUUUUUCGGUAAAAAUGAGAAACCUUCCUCCUUUUAUUUUUACUUUCGUAUAAAAGAAACAAAAUAAAACUGAAAGGAAAACAAUAAGCAAACAAAGAACUUAAAACGAGAAUAGACCAAGAAACCUCUUUUGCUUUGAUAUUUGAUUAAUCUCCAAAAAAAAACUAGUCUCUCCAAAAACUAGCCUUUACAAUAACUCUUCUUCUUGAUAACUCUAAAAAAAACCUCUUAAAAAUCCUUUACAAUAACUUUCUCCCUCAAAACUUCUUCCCCUAAAUACAAAAUAUGAGAAGGCUUAUAUAGCCAUUUACCAAAUAUUUUUUAUUGUUUAUGUCCUCAUUUGUAGUUACAAGUGGUGGUAAAGCAAGUGUGGCUAAUGGAGUAGGUGGUGGAGCAAGUGUGGGUAGUGAAAUAGGUGGUAGAGCAAGUGUGGCUAGUGGAGUUGGUGGUGGCAAAAGAUAGGAUUUAGUUGAGAAAAAUUUAGGUUGUGGGCUGGGGUUUUUUUAUUUUGAUUUGGGCUUAGGGUUUGGGCCAUUGGGAUUUUGAUGUAAAUUGGGCUUUGAGUAGUUAAGAUUUUGGGUUUUGGGUUUAAUUUUGAUGGGUUAGGUAAGGGUAAAUUGGAUUUUGAUGUAAAUGAGUUUAAAUUGGCCUACAACAUCUAUAUUACAGAAGAAUGAUGGCGUCCGCAACUUACCGAAGGUGCCCAAACAGGACGGAAAUGAAGGAGCAUGUUUUUAGGGAGUGUCCUAUUGCAAAUGAGACAUGGGAAAAGUUAGGCUUUAACUGGCCUACUUUUGGGGAAAGUACUGGUUUUAAAGAUUGGCUUAAAUGUAUUUUUGAGUUAAACUCUUUGAACAAGUGUAGGGUGAUUGCAUUUGCUAUGUGGGUGAUCUAGACAUCAAGAAACAGGUUUAUUCAUGAAGGUUAAGAACAAUCUGGGACUCAAAUGGCAGAUUUCAUAACAAACUACAUCAAAGAACUUGAUGGGUUGAGUAUGCGCUUACCAGUGAAUGGUUUCAGACGGGUAGAUGGGUCGUGCCGACUAACCCGUAGGUUAGAAUCAACUUUGAUGCUGCUUUUAAUAAGGAGAAGAAUGAGUCAUGCUCGGGGUUAGUAAUACGGAAUGCUAGGGCAGAGGUGAUUUGCUCAAAAUCAGUUAUUCAUAAGAAUAUACCUUCUGCUUUUGCUGCGGAAGUGAUGGCAUAUCUCCAGGCGGUCCAUCUUGGGUUAUCUCUUGAGUUGAGAGAGGUUGAGAUUAAAGGUGACUCGCGAUCGGUGAUUCAGAAACUGCAAAAAGGAAAGGAAGACAGAUCAGAAAUCGAAGUUUUCAUUAAAGAUUCAAAGUAUCUGAGCCUUGGCUUUGAAUCCUGUAUUUUUCGGUGUAUCCCUAGAGAAUCUAAUAAAAUUGCUCAUUUCAUAGCGAAAGAGGGAUUAUAGAAGAACGAAUCAACUUAUCUGCUGGGCAUGGUUUUGAUUGGAGCGGAGGAAGCUAUGGUGGCCGAUCAAAGUUGGAGGGUUUCUUUGGGGGACUGAAUCGUUGGAUUUGCUGUUGGAAAGAUUUAGGAUGAAGUUUGAAAAGCCAGGAUGAUUUGUGAUGUUUAGAAGUUUUUCUGUGGAAAUGAUGGCUCUUGCUGAGAAUUAAAGAAAGCACAUCGAUUCACAGGUGGCUUUGUUGCUUUUGAGGGAUAGGUUUAUUAAAUGGUUUACAGCUGGCUAAAGAAGUCUCUAGAGCUACCCGUCUUGCUUUGCUGGAUCUUUUGUUGUUUUAUUUUGUUUCUGUUUUUUGGCCCGGGAUUGUUCGGCUUGGUUUUGGGAUAUUUGUUUUGGAUUUGUUUUGUCUUAUUGAAUAUAAGAUCUAGAUGUUUUACUCAAAAAAAUAAUUUUUUGAGAGAUAUAUUAUAUAUUUAAAAUUUUUUAA
rnacentral:lncRNA from 1 species